UGCAGUUGAACGAAGANCUCAGGCUUGCCUGAGGGAUCUUAGUGGCGGACGGGUGAGUAACGCGUGGGAACCUGCCCAGAAGUGGGGAAUAACCAUUGGAAACGAUGGCUAAUACCGCAUACAUCCUGAGGGAGAAAGGCUUCGGCCGCUUUUGGAUGGUCCCGCGUCUGAUUAGCUUGUUGGUAGGGUAACGGCCUACCAAGGCGACGAUCAGUAGCUGGUCUGAGAGGAUGAUCAGCCACACUGGGACUGAGACACGGCCCAGACUCCUACGGGAGGCAGCAGUGGGGAAUAUUGGACAAUGGGGGAAACCCUGAUCCAGCAAUGCCGCGUGAGUGAAGAAGGCCCUAGGGUUGUAAAACUCUUUCAACGGUGACGAUGAUGACGGUAGCCGUAGAAGAAGCUCCGGCUAACUCCGUGCCAGCAGCCGCGGUAAUACGGAGGGGGCUAGCGUUGUUCGGAAUUACUGGGCGUAAAGAGCACGUAGGCGGUGUGGCAAGUUAGAGGUGAAAGGCCUAGGCUCAACCUGGGAACUGCCUUUAAUACUGCCUCACUAGAGUCUGGGAGAGGGUAGCGGAAUUCCAAGUGUAGAGGUGAAAUUCGUAGAUAUUUGGAAGAACACCGGUGGCGAAGGCGGCUACCUGGACCGGUACUGACGCUGAGGUGCGAAAGCGUGGGGAGCGAACAGGAUUAGAUACCCUGGUAGUCCACGCUGUAAACGAUGAGUGCUAGAUGUUGGAGUCCUAGAUUUCAGUGUCGUAGCUAACGCGUUAAGCACUCCGCCUGGGGAGUACGG
rnacentral:rRNA from 1 species